AACGUACGCUGGCGGCACGCCUUAUACAUGCAAGUCGAACGCAGUAGCAAUACUGAGUGGCAAACGGGUGAGUAUAAUGUGGGUAUCUGCCUUUUGGUUUGGAAUAACAUGAGGAAACUUGUGCUAAUACCGGAUAAGCCUUCACAGGGAAAGUUUUAUACGCCGAAAGAUGAGCCCGCACUUGAUUAGUUUGUUGGUGAGGUAAUGGCUCACCAAGACAAUUAUCAAUAGCUGGUCUGAGAGGACGAUCAGCCACAUUGGGACUGAGACACGGCCCAGACUCCUACGGGAGGCAGCAGUAAGGAAUCUUGCACAAUGGGGGAAACCCUGAUGCAGCGAUGCCGCGUGAGUGAAGAAGGCCCUUGGGUUGUAAAACUCUUUCGUCGGGGAAGAAAAUGACUGUACCCGAAUAAGAAGGUCCGGCUAACUUCGUGCCAGCAGCCGCGGUAAUACGAAGGGACCUAGCGUAGUUCGGAAUUACUGGGCUUAAAGAGCUCGUAGGUGGUUAAAAAAGUUGAUGGUGAAAUCCCAAGGCUCAACCUUGGAACUGCCAUCAAAACUUUUUAGCUAGAGUGUGAUAGAGGAAAGUGGAAUUUCUAGUGUAGAGGUGAAAUUCGUAGAUAUUAGAAAGAACACCAAAUGCGAAGGCAACUUUCUGGGUCACUACUGACACUGAGGAGCGAAAGCAUGGGUAGCGAAGAGGAUUAGAUACCCUCGUAGUCCAUGCCGUAAACGAUGUGUGCUAGACGUUGGAAAUAUAUUUUUCAGUGUCGCAGCGAAAGCAUUAAGCACACCGCCUGGGGAGUACGACCGCAAGGUUA
rnacentral:rRNA from 1 species